rnacentral:rRNA from 1 species
UGACGAGAAGACCCCGUCAAACUUUAAUUAUCAUAUAUAAAAGUGAGAUACAAGAUAUAAAUUAAUUUUAGUUGGGGCAACUGGGAGGGAUAAAAAUCUUUUAUUAAAUCAUUUAUAGUAAUAUUUAUAUUUAUGAUCCAAAUUAGUUAAUUUUGAACUUAGAAU